rnacentral:rRNA from 1 species
GAUGAACGCUGGCGGCGUGCCUAAUACAUGCAAGUCGAGCGAACAGAUGAGGAGCUUGCUCCUCUGACGUUAGCGGCGGACGGGUGAGUAACACGUGGAUAACCUACCUAUAAGACUGGGAUAACUUCGGGAAACCGGAGCUAAUACCGGAUAAUAUAUUGAACCGCAUGGUUCAAUAGUGAAAGACGGUUUUGCUGUCACUUAUAGAUGGAUCCGCGCCGCAUUAGCUAGUUGGUAAGGUAACGGCUUACCAAGGCAACGAUGCGUAGCCGACCUGAGAGGGUGAUCGGCCACACUGGAACUGAGACACGGUCCAGACUCCUACGGGAGGCAGCAGUAGGGAAUCUUCCGCAAUGGGCGAAAGCCUGACGGAGCAACGCCGCGUGAGUGAUGAAGGUCGUCGGAUCGUAAAACUCUGUUAUUAGGGAAGAACAAAUGUGUAAGUAACUAUGCACGUCUUGACGGUACCUAAUCAGAAAGCCACGGCUAACUACGUGC